UCUUGUGUGAGUUCCCAAAAACAAAACCGUGAGGGCGUGGUCGGGGCCCAAAGCGGACAAUAUUGUGUUACGGUGGUGGAGCGGGCCCGGAAAGUGGUCCGUCCCGGGUCGGGAUGUGACACUCACGCACCAAACACACUUUUGAUGAUACAUAAUAUCGUUUUUUUCCAUAAAAAAAAUAAAAAUUGUGGAAAAGGAUUAAGAUGUAAUAAGUGGGAGAAACCCAUUUUCUCUCCUCCCCUCGUAUCCUCUCUCCUUCUCUUUUGCGCUGCAACAGGAGCCCCAUUAAACAGCAAGCCGACGACUGCCGAGUGCCAAGUGGACGCAACAGCUCUGUCGUCUACGGGUCACCAAAGGCUCUCAAACUACACAUCCAGAAUGCUCUUGCCGUCCUUUAUCCAAUCCCCAAGUUAGUUUCUAUAAAUUCGUAGGCGGUUUUCCUCAACUUCAAAUUUAAGAAACGGUGACCCAGGGUUUACCGGCCAACUUCCGGCCAAUAUCGCCGGAAUUUGACCUCGACCCAAGAGGUAGAAUGAUCCUCCUCUCGUGGGCUGUUCUCCAAUGUAAGUUCUUUUUCCAAAUUUUCAACUUUCAGUUUUGGGAUUGAUUCUUAAUUUCGAAUUUUAUUCGAUUUUCUGUAUGGAUGUCGGAGAUGAGACUUAUCGUAAUUAUUGUAUCUGUGAAGUUGUUGAAAUCCCUAACGAUUACGUUCCCGGUUGAUAGUUGAAGCAUGUCUAUAGCAUGAUAUGGGAUUGAACCUGUAGAACCUUGUAUUAUUGUGAAUAGGCAAUGAAUGAACUCUUUUGCAUAGGAAUUAUAAAACUCAGGGAAAGAAUGUGAAACUGUGGCACGAAAUUAGAAAAUGGGGCCAAAAUCAUGUUAUGAUGAAGGCAAUAGCUUAGCUGGAUUCCUUGUUUAUUGUAGUUGUAUUCAGCAGCUUACUUUGGUUUUGAAUUGCCUGCUGUCCAGUAGAUGUUUAAGACUUAAUGUGGAGGAAAUUCUCUCUUGAAGUUGCUUGAACUUACCUAUUUGGUAGACAAGGCUACUCAAGGGAGAGCUAGCCUGAGGUGAGACAUGCUAACUGAAAAGGGUUAUUCCAAUAUUAUUGUGGAAUCUGAUAAAGGUUUCUUGAGGCAGUUGCUGAUCCGAAAAGCUUCUUCCAUCUUAACUGCUAUUGGGUGUAAGACUUUUAUUGGGCUUACAUCUAUACAGGAGUCCUAAUUGAUUAAGGAUAAAAGAAAGGAAGUAAUAUUUGAUUAUUCCGGAUUACUUAUGGUGAAGUAUAGCAAUAAUUUUUGGGAAUAUCAAUCCUAUUAGUUCAUGGAUUUUAGAGGUGCUAAAGAUUUGUAUUAGGGUUUUCUUUAUGGGCGAGAAACCUAAUACUCUCACCUAUAAAUAUAAGGCUUAGGUCCCACUUUUAUACACAUUAUUCUAGCACAAAACACUACCCCAUAUAGGAGUGCAUAAGGCGUGUAGAGAGAGAUGAAGAUCUUUGCUUGUUCGUUGCUGAUCAUGGUUCAAUCUUGUUCAUAUCAAUGGCUUCUCAAGGUUAGUACUUGCAUAUUAUAGAUCGACUUGCAUUGGGUACCUCAAAAAAAUCAAUUAGGUAGCAGAAUGUGGUUUGACGAUCCUUAUUGUUCAAUUUUUUAAGUACUAUCCAUGUAUGUAUAUAUUCUAUAAAACAUGGUAGAAUAAUUUUUUGAGUACUAUAUAGAUAAUUUCAUCA